rfam:Pteropus alecto contig65229, whole genome shotgun sequence.
GGCUCCAUAGUGUAGUGGUUAGCAUAUCUACUUUACACACAGAAAGUCUUGGGUUUGUGCCCAGGUGGAGCCC